GCGGCAACAGCUCAAAUUUGAAAUCUGGCGUCUUUGGCGUCCGAGUUGUAAUUUGCAGAGGGCGCUUUGGCAUUGGCAGCGGUCCAAGUUCCUUGGAACAGGACGUCACAGAGGGUGAGAAUCCCGUACGUGGUCGCUAGCCUUUACCGUGUAAAGCCCCUUCGACGAGUCGAGUUGUUUGGGAAUGCAGCUCUAAAUGGGAGGUAAAUUUCUUCUAAAGCUAAAUACUGGCCAGAGACCGAUAGCGCACAAGUAGAGUGAUCGAAAGAUGAAAAGCACUUUGGAAAGAGAGUUAAAAAGCACGUGAAAUUGUUGAAAGGGAAGCGCUUGCAGCCAGACUUGCCUGUAGUUGCUCAUCCGGGUUUUUACCCGGUGCACUCUUCUAUAGGCAGGCCAGCAUCAGUUUGGGCGGUUGGAUAAAGGUCUCUGUCAUGUACCUCUCUUCGGGGAGAACUUAUAGGGGAGACGACAUGCAACCAGCCUGGACUGAGGUCCGCGCAUCUGCUAGGAUGCUGGCGUAAUGGCUGUAAGCGGCCCGUCUUGAAACACGGACCAAGGAGUCUAACAUCUAUGCGAGUGUUUGGGUGUCAAGCCCGAGCGCGUAAUGAAAGUGAACGGAGGUGGGAACCUUUCGGGGUGCACCAUCGACCGAUCCUGAUGUCUUCGGAUGGAUUUGAGUAAGAGCAUAGCUGUUGGGACCCGAAAGAUGGUGAACUAUGCUUGAAUAGGGUGAAGCCAGAGGAAACUCUGGUGGAGGCUCGCAGCGGUUCUGACGUGCAAAUCGAUCGU
rnacentral:rRNA from 3 species